rnacentral:rRNA from 1 species
AUUGAACGCUGGCGGCAGGCCUAACACAUGCAAGUCGAACGAGUGGCAGGCGGGUGAGUAGUGUCUGGGACACUGCGUGAGGGGGGGGGAUAACUUCGGAACGCUGUAGCUAAUACCGCAAACCCUCGGGUGUCCCCAGAUGGGAUUAGCUAGUAGGUGGGGUAACGGCUCACCGAGGCGACGAUCCCUAGCUGGUCUGAGAGGAUGACCAGCCACACUGGAACUGAGACACGGUCCAGACUCCUACGGGAGGCAGCAGUGGGGAAUAUUGCACAAUGGGCGCAAGCCUGAUGCAGCCAUGCCGCGUGUAUGAAGAAGGCCUUCGGGUUGUAAAGUACUUUCAGCGGGGAGGCGUUACCCGCAGAAGAAGCACCGGCUAACUCCGUGCCAGCAGCCGCGGUAAUAC